rnacentral:rRNA from 2 species
GAAUGCUGACAUAAGUAACGAUAAAGCGGGUGAAAAGCCCGCUCGCCGGAAGACCAAGGGUUCCUGUCCAACGUUAAUCGGGGCAGGGUGAGUCGACCCCUAAGGCGAGGCCGAAAGGCGUAGUCGAUGGGAAACGGGUUAAUAUUCCCGUACUUGGUGUUACUGCGAAGGGGGGACGGAGAAGGCUAUGUUGGCCGGGCGACGGUUGUCCCGGUUUAAGCGUGUAGGUGUGUGUUCCAGGUAAAUCCGGUUCACUUUAACACUGAGGCGUGACGACGAGGCACUACGGUGCUGAAGCAACAAAUGCCCUGCUUCCAGGAAAAGCCUCUAAGCAUCAGGUAACACGAAAUCGUACCCCAAACCGACACAGGUGGUCAGGUAGAGAAUACCAAGGCGCUUGAGAGAACUCGGGUGAAGGAACUAGGCAAAAUGGUGCCGUAACUUCGGGAGAAG